rnacentral:rRNA from 1 species
AUUGAACGCUGGCGGCGUGCCUAACACAUGCAAGUCGAGCGGUAACAGGUGUAGCAAUACAUGCUGACGAGCGGCGAACGGGUGAGUAAUGCUUUGGAAUCUUCCCAGUAGUGGGGAAUAACCAGUCGAAAGAUUGGCUAAUACCGCAUACGUCUGUAAAGGGAAAGCGGGGGACUCGCCUCUUCUUCGGAAGAGAGGCCUCGCGCUAUUGGAUGAGCCAAAGCGGAUUAGCUAGUUGGUGGGGUAAUGGCCUACCAAGGCGACAAUCCGUAGCUGGUCUGAGAGGACGACCAGCCACACCGGGAACUGAGACACGGUCCGGACUCCUACGGGAGGCAGCAGUGGGGAAUAUUGGACAAUGGGGGAAACCCUGAUCCAGCGACGCCGCGUGUGUGAAGAAGGCCUGCGGGUUGUAAAGCACUUUUAGU